CCGCGCGUCCCUGGCUUCUCUCCCAGCCGCAGCCGCCGCCGCCGCCUCUCUCUCCCUUCCCUCUUCUCUCUGCCCUCACCUCUCUCCCCCUUCCAUCACCUCGCUAGUAACAGGUCACCGUGUGUGUGCGCGCCAUGGGGAUUCAUCUGCCGCCGCCUGCCCUCGCCUUCUGCCUCUCGGCGCCCACUCGGUUCUAGUGGCCGCUUCGAGGAGGCGCUCGCGCGCAUCGAGGAGCUCCAGGAGCGCGACACUGGCGCCGACGAUAGCAGCACAGCCUCGUCGUUCUUGAGCGACGGAGAGGCGGCGUCGCGGCCAGCAGGCGAGCAGCAGUCGCACUCCGCAGAUUUCUUGAGCGACGGAGAGGCGGCGUCCGGUGGCAUUCAGAGACGUGCGUGACGGUCGGAGGUCGUCGAGCGCGUGUAAGCUUGUUGACCAUUUUCAGCAUGUGUAAAUUGGCGGUUAGAUUUCGUUCAAGAAAUAGCAUCCAAGACAAAUAGCGUUGUUCGCGAUCUGAGGCAGCUGGUAGGCAGUCUGGGCUUGGGCGCACGCGAGCCAGAGAGGGAGGGCUGGGAGCACGUCAUCUCCAAGAGCAGCGACGACGUCUCCUACAAGGCCUGGUGCGACAAGCCCACGGUAGUUGCCAAUUGCGUACAUGCAUUGCAACAGAUCUGGGCUCUAGAAGCUGCUAACUUGGUAGCAGAAAGAUUGAGGCAUUGCAUAGCAAACCACUGGAUCAAAGAGUUUAGUGAAUGGCCACAGUGCAUGUUCUUGAGUUGCAAUCAAAGUUCCUUCCAUAUAAUAAUAACAAAAUAUUUGACAUAAUGAAUCUGUUGGAGGAUAGACUUCAACAUGCAAAUGGAGUCGUUGUUUUGGCAACAAUUAAAGUUUUUCUCCAUUCCCAUGACUGUUGUUCAUCAACAGCAAGAGAAGAAGGAAGACAAGUCAGACAAAACAGAAGACGAGAAGAACUGAUGUAGCCAUGUUCAUGCUUCCACUGUUGAAAUGCAUAUUCAACAUAGCUUGCUCAGCUCCUAUCUGUUGUUUCAACGUUGAUUUAAAAGAAGAGCUGGUAGUUGUGGGCUUUCGAACAAUAGCUGGAAUGAUCUAGCUAGCUAUAUGUAAAUGAUCUAGUUGUGAAUGAUAUUAUAACUGUGAUGCUUUUGUGAAUAUAUAAUUGUGGUGCUUUUGUGUUUG